rnacentral:lncRNA from 1 species
AUGGGAACAGACCUGCUGAUACGGCCUGGCUGGGGCAGCCUAGCGAUUUCCUCCGAGAAGGCCAUGCCACACCGUGCGGAAUCAGAAGAGCGGUUUGAUAGUAGGCCGCACGAGAUUAUGGACGGGAUGCAGCCAUGCAGGCCUGUAGCAAUGCUACAUGGGCCAAAUGUACAACAGACCCACACAAAAGAAAAAAAAAACUACGUAAACUUGGGCUGUUGAAGAAUCGAACACCAAACCUCACUUUGGAAACCCAAUACAUGACCAC